rnacentral:misc_RNA from 1 species
GAUGAAGAACGUAGCAAAAUGCGAUAAGUAGUGUGAAUUGCAGAAUUCAGUGAAUCAUCGAAUCUUUGAACGCACAUUGCGCCCUAUGGUAUUCCGUAGGGCAUGCCUGUUCGAGCGUCAUUCAAACCUUCAAGCUCUGCUUGGUGUUGGGCGUCUGUCCUGCCUCACGGCGCGGACUCGCCUCAAAUCUAUUGGCGGCCGGCACGUUGGCUUCGAGCGCAGCAGAAACGCGAACUCGAGACCGGCGGAUCGGCUCCCAGAAGCUACCCCCAUGAAUUUGACCUCGGAUCAGGUAGGGAUACCCGCUGAACUUAAGCAUAUCAAUAAGCGGAGGA